rnacentral:rRNA from 1 species
UGCCAGCAGCCGCGGUAAUACGGAGGGUGCAAGCGUUGCUCGGAAUCACUGGGCGUAAAGCGAGCGCAGGCGGCUAAAUAAGUCGGGUGUGAAAGCCCGGGGCUCAACCCCGGAACUGCAUCCGAAACUGUUUAGCUAGAGUACAGAAGAGGAAGGGGGAAUUCCAGGUGUAGAGGUGAAAUUCGUAGAUAUCUGGAGGAACACUCGUGGCGAAGGCGCCUUUCUGGUCUGUUACUGACGCUCAUGCUCGAAAGCGUGGGGAGCAAACAGGAUUAGAUA